rnacentral:rRNA from 1 species
UCAGGACGAACGCUGGCGGCGUGCCUAAUACAUGCAAGUCGAACGCUUCUUUUUCCACCGGAGCUUGCUCCACCGGAAAAAGAGGAGUGGCGAACGGGUGAGUAACACGUGGGUAACCUGCCCAUCAGAAGGGGAUAACACUUGGAAACAGGUGCUAAUACCGUAUAACAAUCAAAACCGCAUGGUUUUGAUUUGAAAGGCGCUUUCGGGUGUCGCUGAUGGAUGGACCCGCGGUGCAUUAGCUAGUUGGUGAGGUAACGGCUCACCAAGGCCACGAUGCAUAGCCGACCUGAGAGGGUGAUCGGCCACAUUGGGACUGAGACACGGCCCAAACUCCUACGGGAGGCAGCAGUAGGGAAUCUUCGGCAAUGGACGAAAGUCUGACCGAGCAACGCCGCGUGAGUGAAGAAGGUUUUCGGAUCGUAAAACUCUGUUGUUAGAGAAGAACAAGGAUGAGAGUAACUGUUCAUCCCUUGACGGUAUCUAACCAGAAAGCCACGGCUAACUACGUGCCAGCAGCCGCGGUAAUACGUAGGUGGCAAGCGUUGUCCGGAUUUAUUGGGCGUAAAGCGAGCGCAGGCGGUUUCUUAAGUCUGAUGUGAAAGCCCCCGGCUCAACCGGGGAGGGUCAUUGGAAACUGGGAGACU